CCGCCCUUAGCUCAGCUGGAUAGAGCAACGGCCUUCUAAGCCGUAGGUCGCCCGUUCGAAUCGGGCAGGGCGGACCA
rnacentral:tRNA from 1 species